rnacentral:rRNA from 1 species
UACGAAGGGGGCUAGCGUUGUUCGGAAUUACUGGGCGUAAAGCGCACGUAGGCGGAUUGUUAAGUCGGGGGUGAAAUCCUGAGGCUCAACCUCAGAACUGCCUUCGAUACUGGCAAUCUCGAGUCCGGAAGAGGUUGGUGGAACAGCUAGUGUAGAGGGUGAAAUUCGUAGAUAUUAGCUAGAACACCAGUGGCGAAAGGCGGCCAACUGGUCCGGUACUGACGGCUGAGGU